CGCGGCCUAUCAGCUUGUUGGUGAGGUAAAGGCUCACCAAGGCAUUGACGGGUAGCUGGUCUGAGAGGACGAUCAGCCACACUGGGACUGAGACACGGCCCAGACUCCUGCGGGAGGCAGCAGUGGGGAAUCUUGCGCAAUGGGCGAAAGCCUGACGCAGCAACGCCGCGUGGGGGAUGAAGGCUCUCGGGUUGUAAACCCCUUUCAGCAGGGACGAAAUUGACGGUACCUGUAGAAGAAGCCCCGGCCAACUACGUGCCAGCAGCCGCGGUAACACGUAGGGGGCGAGCGUUGUCCGGAGUUAUUGGGCGUAAAGGGCUCGUAGGCGGUUCGGUAAGUCAGAUGUGAAAGGUUGGGGCUCAACCCUAAGACUGCAUUUGAUACUGCCGUGACUAGAGUCCGGUAGAGGAGUGUGGAAUUCCUGGUGUAGCGGUGAAAUGCGCAGAUAUCAGGAGGAACACCGACGGCGAAGGCAGCACUCUGGGCCGGUACUGACGCUGAGGAGCGAAAGCGUGGGUAGCAAACAGGAUUAGAUACCCUGGUAGUCCACGCCGUAAACGUUGGGCACUAGGUGUGGGACCUUAUCAACGGGUUCCGUGCCGUAGCUAACGCAUUAAGUGCCCCGCCUGGGGAGUACGG
rnacentral:rRNA from 1 species